GGCCUUGGAAAGGGGGUUUCUCAAACUAUUUUGCUUCCAAAAGGAAAAGAAGCUGGAAGGCAUUCAUAUUUCAGUUCUCAAGUUAUUUAGGUUAAAGUCUCCCAGUUGGAAAAGGGAAGAUAUGAGAGAGCAGAUUGCUGGUGGCGAUACUCACGAGAAGGAAAACGGAAAAAAGGCGCAUGGAAUUCUAGAGCUGCAUCCAGACAAAUGUGGGGUUUGACAGUUUUGAUCCAUGGGUCAAGCUGGCCUCCCUGGAAGUCCCAACUCCCUGGAAGCCAUGGGAACCUGGUGCAGGAGCCAUCCUUCACUGGUAGGGUAGGGGUAAGUUUCUUCACUGGAUUACAUAAGAAAUGUGCCAGUCUCAGAGUGACGUGAGAUGAAAAGUUUGUGCAGAACUUGGCAAAACAGGGCCUGACCAUAAGUAAACCCCUCUCCCUGUCCUACUCCAGUAUUCUGUAGUGGGGUAUGUGGCUGGAGAGAUGCUUAUCCCUGAAAGUGGAAGAGCUACUAAUGCAGCUCCCCUGGAAUGUUUUUGUUGAAGAUGUUCUGGGGAGCUAAUAGUGUCUGGGACGUUGGAUAUUUCUGGAAGGACAAACUGUUAAUUACUUAGCAAUGAGGACAGCAAGGCAGCUGUGCUACAGCAAAACAAACCAACAAACUAAGAAAAUCACCAGGUGUUCAAAGCAGCAGACUCAGAGGGGCAAUAAGGUUGUGGAAGCUUUUUACCUUUGCUGCAAUACAGGUCAGUAAUGAACACAAGUGGGACAUUAAUUGACGUCUUUAGAGUCUCAAAACAAAAGCUAACCUGCACCAUCUGACCUCAGUGAUACCUGUGCUUCAGAUGUACCUGUCUCGAGAGGAAGCACAGGCUGCACAUUCUCUACAUGUCAGGUUGGACCCGCUAAAAACCAACAGUGUUUAAUAAGGAUCGUGCCUUUUGCCUGGUGUGCAGACUUAUGCUGUUAGGGAAAUACUACAGGAAUCUGAAAUCCAGUUGCAUUUACAGCUGUGAGAGGCUGGAGAAAAUGAGGAUUAAGCUUUCCCAAGGAGAGAGCAGCAAUGCAGCAUCUCCCACUGUUGUGGGACAAACUCAUGUUUGGCUGCUGGAGGGCAGAGAUUGAUAACCACUUGCAGGGGCUGAGGCAGCUGCACCCAGUGUCACUUUCCUAGAAACAGGGAAACCAAAAAAGAGUAUUAAACGUGAGGUGAACUGAGAGGGGAGGAAAAUUCUUUCUUUCAAAAUGCAAAAUUCAAAAUUCAAAAGAAUUCUACCCUGAAGGUCAUAUUCUGCAAGAGUGACAAACUGAGUGACCCCAGUGUGACUUUUUUGUUUGCUAGAUCUGCCUUGUACCUCUAAUAGGUCAUGAAUUUGAGCAGUGUGGUUAAACAAACAUUCCAAAAACUCUGUCUCAAGGGGUUUGCGGGGGAAACAGGGUGGUGCUGUAUCAAGGGUUUUGCUUUAUUUUUAGAGCAAACUGAUUAACGUUGAGCUCUAAGAAUUUCUUCCAUCAUACUCAAGUUUCUCAUGAGAUUUUUGAGGGACUUUUAAGGAAAAUGUGUGUGGGGGAGGGGUUUCACAGUUUCUGCAUGUUGUGUUUAUUUUUUCAUUAUUUUCAGCAAAAGAAUGUGGAUGGAAAUUUAAGUAGUUUUUUUUCCUUGCAAUUUAGAAGCUUCUUUUUUCCUUUAAGGAGAAAGUUUAGCUGAUAUUUGAAAAUGAUUCUGAUAGUUGUGCAGGACUGCAACCUCUGUCAGUCAGACUCCAAUAUACCUCCCACCCUGGUCCUUUGUAAGCCCUAUGUU
rnacentral:lncRNA from 13 species